CGGGACUGCACGGCGGCGGCGGUGCCUGCAAGAGCUUCGCUGGGGGUCGCGGGCUGGGUCUGCGGGAGGCCGGCCGCCGAGAUCAGGGCUGGGUGAACUCAUGGACCUGAUACUUUUCUCUUGAGAAACAAACGAACUCAACAACAACAAAAAAAUGGCAUUUGUUGCAACACAGGGGGCCACGGUGGUUGACCAAACCACUCUGAUGAAAAAAUACCUUCAGUUUGUGGCAGCUCUCACGGAUGUAAAUACACCUGAUGAAACGAAGUUAAAAAUGAUGCAAGAAGUUAGUGAAAAUUUUGAGAAUGUAACGUCAUCUCCUCAAUAUUCUACGUUCCUGGAACAUAUCAUCCCUCGAUUUCUCACAUUUCUUCAAGACGGAGAAGUUCAGUUUCUCCAGGAGAAACCAGCCCAGCAACUGCGGAAGCUAGUACUCGAGAUAAUUCACAGGAUACCAACCAACGAACAUCUUCGUCCUCAUACAAAAAAUGUUCUAUCUGUGAUGUUUCGCUUUUUAGAGACGGAAAAUGAAGAGAAUGUUCUUAUUUGUCUAAGAAUAAUCAUUGAGCUCCACAAACAGUUCAGGCCGCCCAUCACA